rnacentral:rRNA from 1 species
AAUGACGCUGGGGACGCGAGCGGCGGAUGGGUGAGUAACACGUGGGGAACCUGCCCCAUAGUCUGGGAUACCACUUGGAAACAGGUGCUAAUACCGGAUAAGAAAGCAGAUCGCAUGAUCAGCUUAUAAAAGGCGGCGUAAGCUGUCGCUAUGGGAUGGCCCCGCGGUGCAUUAGCUAGUUGGUAAGGUAACGGCUUACCAAGGCAAUGAUGCAUAGCCGAGUUGAGAGACUGAUCGGCCACAUUGGGACUGAGACACGGCCCAAACUCCUACGGGAGGCAGCAGUAGGGAAUCUUCCACAAUGGACGCAAGUCUGAUGGAGCAACGCCGCGUGAGUGAAGAAGGUUUUCGGAUCGUAAAGCUCUGUUGUUGGUGAAGAAGGAUAAAGGUAGUAACUGGCCUUUAUUUGACGGUAAUCAACCAGAAAGUCACGGCUAACUACGUGCCAGCAGCCGCGGUAAUACGUAGGUGGCAAGCGUUGUCCGGAUUUAUUGGGCGUAAAGCGAGCGCAGGCGGAAGAAUAAGUCUGAUGUGAAAGCCC